AGUCCAUGAUGUUGCAUUUUCGCAUCAUAUCCUUGAAUCCCUCCCAUGAUUCAAAGAGUGAAUCUUCAUUCGUCAUUCUAUAGCACGUGAUUUGGUUCCUUAGUUU